rnacentral:misc_RNA from 1 species
AAGUCGUAACAAGGUCUCCGUAGGUGAACCUGCGGAGGGAUCAUUAACACGUUUUCUUAAAACGUUUUCCAACCAACCCGUGAACUUUUUAACUAGAACCCCGACCUGAGAGUUGAGAGAAUCCUGCUUUUCUGUACUUAGUGAUGAGUGUUUAGGCUUGCCUAAAUACGAGUACAUUCAAGCUGGGAGAGCAGUUUAUUACCUAUGCUUGCAUACAAUGGCUGACUUUCCAAGGGCUCUCUUCUUUCGGGCUAAUACUUCUCCAUUACUCUCCCUUCAUUCACUGGAGGUAAUGGGAAAACAAACCACUUUCACCCCUUUAUAACCACUUGACUGAUACGUUUUAAUAUGUAACAGUAUUAAGACCAAUAUAAUCAAAUAUCUAAGCACAACUCUUAGCAACGGAUAUCUUGGUUCUC